CGUUAGGAUGAAGCCUAGCGACAGGCCUAACACAUGCAAGUCGAGGGGCAGCACAAGGAGCAAUCUGAGGUGGCGACCGGCGCACGGGUGAGUAACACGUAUGCAACCUGCCUGUAAGCGGGGAAUAACCCGUUGAAAGACGGACUAAUACCGCAUAAUACUAAAUUACUGCAUGGUAAUUUAUUUAAACAUUUAUGGCUUACAGAUGGGCAUGCGCAUGAUUAGCUAGUUGGAGAGGUAACGGCUCCCCAAGGCAACGAUCAUUAGGGGUUCUGAGAGGAAGGUCCCCCACACUGGUACUGAGACACGGACCAGACUCCUACGGGAGGCAGCAGUGAGGAAUAUUGGUCAAUGGACGAGAGUCUGAACCAGCCAAGUCGCGUGCAGGAAGAAUGUCCUAUGGAUUGUAAACUGCUUUUGCAGGGGAAUAAAGUGCAUCACGUGUGAUGUUUUGUAUGUACUCUGCGAAUAAGGAUCGGCUAACUCCGUGCCAGCAGCUGC
rnacentral:rRNA from 1 species